AGGACAAACGCUGGCGGCAUACCUAAGACAUGCAAGUCGAACGAGGACUGAUCCUUCGGGGUCAGUGCGAGUGGCGGACGGGUGAGUAACGCGUAGGAACCUGACGCACAGUGGGGGAUAACGCUGGGAAACCGGCGCUAAGACCGCAUGUGGUCCGGCAACGGAAGAAAGCCAUUCAUGAAAGUGGAUGGUGCUGUGUGAGGGGCCUGCGUCCGAUUAGCUGGUUGGUGGGUAAAGGCCUACCAAGGCGACGAUCGGUAGCUGGUCUGAGAGGAUGAUCAGCCACACUGGGACUGAGACACGGCCCAGACUCCUACGGGAGGCAGCAGUUAGGAAAUUUUCUCAAUGGGGAAACCCUGAAGGAGUAACGCCGCGUGCAGGAUGACGGCUUUCGGUUGUAACUGCUUUUCUGUGGGAAGAGGAAAGACGGUACCACAGGAAGAAGCCUCGGCUAACUACGUGCCAGCAGCCGC
rnacentral:rRNA from 1 species